GAUGAACGCUGGCGGCGUGCCUAAUACAUGCAAGUCGAACGCAUAGCGAAAGGUGCUUGCACCUUUCAAGUGAGUGGCGAACGGGUGAGUAACACGUGGACAACCUGCCUCAAGGCUGGGGAUAACAUUUGGAAACAGAUGCUAAUACCGAAUAAAACUUAGUGUCGCAUGACACAAAGUUAAAAGGCGCUUCGGCGUCACCUAGAGAUGGCUCCGCGGUGCAUUAGUUAGUUGGUGGGGUAAAGGCCUACCAAGACAAUGAUGCAUAGCCGAGUUGAGAGACUGAUCGGCCACAUUGGGACUGAGACACGGCCCAAACUCCUACGGGAGGCUGCAGUAGGGAAUCUUCGACAAUGGGCGAAAGCCUGAUGGAGCAACGCCGCGUGUGUGAUGAAGGCUUUCGGGUCGUAAAGCACUGUUGUAUGGGAAGAACAGCUAGAAUAGGAAAUGAUUUUAGUUUGACGGUACCAUACCAGAAAGGGACGGCUAAAUACGUG
rnacentral:rRNA from 1 species